rnacentral:rRNA from 1 species
CCUACGGGUGGCUGCAGUGGGGAAUAUUGCACAAUGGACGAAAGUCUGAUGCAGCAACGCCGCGUGGAGGAUGACACAUUUCGGUGCGUAAACUCCUUUUAUAUAAGAAGAUAAUGACGGUAUUAUAUGAAUAAGCACCGGCUAACUCCGUGCCAGCAGCCGCGGUAAUACGGAGGGUGCAAGCGUUACUCGGAAUCACUGGGCGUAAAGAGCGUGUAGGCGGAUUGAUAAGUUUGAAGUGAAAUCCUAUAGCUUAACUAUAGAACUGCUUUGAAAACUGUUAAUCUAGAAUGUGGGAGAGGUAGAUGGAAUUUCUGGUGUAGGGGUAAAAUCCGUAGAGAUCAGAAGGAAUACCGAUUGCGAAGGCGAUCUACUGGAACAAUAUUGACGCUGAGACGCGAAAGCGUGGGGAGCAAACAGGAUUAGAUACCCUUGUAGUC